UGAGGAAUAUUGGUCAAUGGGCGAGAGCCUGAACCAGCCAAGUCGCGUGAAGGAAGACUGCCCGCAAGGGUUGUAAACUUCUUUUGUAUGGGAUUAAAGUCGUCUACGUGUGGCGUUUGCAGUUACCAUACGCAUAAGCAUCGGCUAACUCCGUGCCAGCAGCCGCGGUAAUACGGAGGAUGCGAGCGUUAUCCGGAAUUAUUGGGUUUAAAGGGUGCGUAGGUUGCAAGGGAAGUCAGGGGUGAAAAGCUAUAGCUCAACUAUGGUCUUGCCUUUGAAACUCUCUAGCUAGAGUGUACUGGAGGUACGUGGAACGUGUGGUGUAGCGGUGAAAUGCAUAGAUAUCACACAGAACUCCGAUUGCGCAGGCAGCGUACUACAUUACAACUGACACUGAAGCACGAAAGCGUGGGUAUCAAACAGG
rnacentral:rRNA from 1 species